AUACGUAGGGUGCAAGCGUUGUUCGGAAUCAUUGGGCGUAAAGCGCGUGUAGGCGGCCAACUAAGUCUGGUGUGAAAGCCCGGGGCUCAACCCCGGAAGUGCACUGGAUACUGGCUGGCUAGAGAACGGGAGAGGAAGGUGGAAUUCCUGGUGUAGGGGUGAAAUCCGUAGAUAUCAGGAGGAACAUCGGUGGCGAAGGCGGCCUUCUGGCCCGUUUCUGACGCUGAGACGCGAAAGCGUGGGGAGCAAACAGGAUUAGAAACCCCAGUAGUCC
rnacentral:rRNA from 1 species